GACGAACGCUGGCGGCGUGCUUAACACAUGCAAGUCGAACGAUGAAGAAAAGAAUUGAAGCUUCGGCAGAAAUUCAUUUCGGAUUAGUGGCAGACGGGUGAGUAACGCGUGAGCAACCUACCUCUUACAAAGGGAUAGCCUCGGGAAACCGGGAUUAAUACCAUAUAACAUUGCGACGAAGCAUUUCGAUGCAAUCAAAGCUACGGCGGUAAGAGAUGGGCUCGCGUCCCAUUAACCAGAUGGUGAGGUAACGGCUCACCAUAGUAACGAUGGGUAACCGGACUGAGAGGGUGAACGGUCACACUGGAACUGAGACACGGUCCAGACUCCUACGGGAGGCAGCAGUGGGGAAUAUUGCACAAUGGAGGGAACUCUGAUGCAGCGACGCCGCGUGAGUGAUGAAGGAAUUCGUUUCGUAAAACUCUGUUCUAUGGGAAGAAAAGGACUGUACCAUAGGAGAAAGCUCCGGCUAAAUACGUG
rnacentral:rRNA from 1 species